rfam:Zootermopsis nevadensis contig7689, whole genome shotgun sequence.
GCCACGGUGGUCUAGCGGUUAGAACGCUGACUUUGUAAUCCUGGGGUCUCGGGUUCGAUUCCCGGCGGUGCCC